rnacentral:tmRNA from 1 species
GGGGGCGACCUGGUUUCGACGUGGUCGGUUCUCCGGCAGAGCUGCAAGCCGAGGUCCCCGGUCGGCCUCGUUAAUCAACCGGGAAAACAAAGCAAGUGCGAACGAUGAACUCGCACUCGCCGCCUAGAUCACUCUAGGUUAGGCGACGUCGCACCUGGCUCGGCCCGAGGCCAGGAAGGCGGCGCCAACGUUCGGGCUCGGCGCCGAGGGAGAGCCAAUCGCCCGAGGCGCGACAGUGCAGGAUGGCUAGCCCGUCGGUAGGUCGUCUGCGAACCGGCCGCCGGGUGAAACCAAAGCGCAGACUACGCUUGUAGAGGUUCUGUCCGGUGCGUCCGCGGACGCGGGUUCGAUUCCCGCCGCCUCCAUCA